UUUUUUUUUUUUUAGAAUAGGGUAUUUGUAUGUAACCCAGGCAGGCCUUUACACUUUUGACCUCCUUCUUCAGCCUUCCAAGGGCUAGGAUUAUAAGCCUGUGCUACCAUGCUGGGCUUUAUGUUAUUUCUGCCCAAAGAAAGAGUAUAGGAAACCCAGAAGCAGAUUCAUAUAUGUCAGGACACCUGAUGUAUAACAAAAUGUCACCCACUGGGCAGUGGGAAAUAUUUUAAUAAACAGUGCUAGCUCAAGGGGAUCUCUACAAAGAAAUGGUUCUUGACCACAUACAAAAAUAAAUUCAGCAACAUUAUCUAAAUGUGAAAGUUGAAAUAAAAUUUCAUCAAUGAGAUAAUAGUAACUUCAUAAUCUAGGGAUAACCAUGUAGUUUUUAAAGAAGACACAGAAAUCACUCGCUCUAGAGGACAACAUUAAAACGAACUCAGAUCAUCAUGAGAUCCAUAAAAUAAGGCAAAAUCAAGCAGUAUAGAUAAGCUAUGUGCCAUACCUACAACUGACAAGUGAAUCUGUAUCCAGAAUACGUAAAAAACUCCCAAUAAACCUGAAAGAGAAAGAACCCCUCCUCACAAAAAGGCAAAAGAGUGUUACAUACUUAAGAAUUGUGAGUCAUACACAGUUCUUCUCCAGUUCCAGGUUUUAAUCCAUGUGUCCUGGAUCAUUGGCACAGCCUGGUGGCUGGCCUUGGGAACUGUCAUUUCCUUCUCAGUGGGGAUGGUGCUUUCCUUUCCCACGUGCUGCCUCACCCAGCUGUUUAUUCUGCCCCACGUACCUUACCUCCUUUCUCAUGAGUGCUGCAUGUGUCUCUUCCUCUUUUCCUUUGCUUGUCAACUUUUGAUCAGCUAUUUUAAGCAUAUUUCUCUCUGGCUUCUUUUUUUCCCCUUCCUUUUUCAUUUCCCUUUUUGUACCUUCUUGUUGAGCCUAAAAACUUGUGGUUUUAAGGGCUAUCCUAAAAUAUCUCAAAGACUUUGGGGGAGUAGGCUUGUUCUUUGGAGCUCCAGAGGCAGAGCAAAGACUGGAAGGCUAGUAUUUACCUAUGGGGAGCUUUUGUCUCAGUUGUUCUUCAGUCGACUGGUCUUCCAAAGUGAGGUGGGAGUUACUGAAUCAGAUAGAGGUAGGCAGUGACUUGGUCUUGGUGUUGUAAAUGGAAGGCCUCUGCCUUGGAUGGGCCACUGGAUUAUAAUACCUGCCAGUCUUAUCACCAAAGCCCUGAACAGACCUUUUUUGUGGAAGUUCAGAGAAGCAGCUCUGGGCUGGGAGAGAGAGCCAGAAUACGAGCCUGACAGCUCUGUACUUCUCAUGGGCAGGGAGUGUCAUAAAUACUAGUUUUUUAAUGGUAUUGUGUAUACCUAAAAAUAAUUCCCAUCCUCCCCUCCACCUGCACCAUUGGAGGGGCUGGUUAACAACCAUUGGCCCAAAGCUUAAAUUCCCUUCCAGUUCCUCUGAGCCAUUCUUUACCUGAGCAACUGUGAGGUAGUUUUUCUUUUUGGGUAGAUCCUUAUUUAUUUUAUUGGAUUCUUCACUCUGGUGGUACUCCUUUCUCUUUUUUGUUGCAAAUGGAGAAAAACUAGAAACUUUGUAGGUAUGUUUGGACUUCAAAAAAUUUUUUGGCACUGUUCAAAAAUAAAGAGUUGAACAUAGUAAAGCUAAAUUACCCUCCUGUCCUGUGAGGUUGGACAAUCUGGAGUCCUUUGGUCUCCAUCCCCAGAGGGCCCCAAGUAGGCAGAGCCCGGAAGAGGCUGCCCGUUAGGAUUGAUGUGUUCCCGUCACUUGGCACAUUCCCUCCCCAGCUAGCUUUAUUCCUUUAUUACCUGUCUGUCCCCUGAAGGCAUUGGAAUUGGUUUGUUCUGGAAGGGAUAGAACAGACUUUUGUGGGCUAGCCUGGGAACCCAACCAGUAUGGGUUUUUUGGCGGGGUUUGAACGUAAGGCCUUGUACUUGCUAGGGAGGUGCUCUACCACUUAAGCCAUGCCCCAACCUUUUUUGCUUUAGUUAUUUUUUAUAUAGGGUCUCACAAUUUUGCUCAGGUUGGCCUUGGACCAUAAUCCUCCUACCUAGUUCUCCUGCAUAGCUAGGAUUACAGGUACAGAACACCAUCCCUCGAUUAUUAGUUGAGACAGGGUGUGGGGGGGUGGUUCUUGCUAACUUUUUGCCUGUGCUGCCUUGAAUUGUGAUUCUCCUAAUCUCCACCUCUUGAGUAGCUGUGAUUCCAGGCAUAAGCCUCUAUGUCUGGUCUCCAACUAGUAUGUUUAGUAUUACUUCAAUGGGAAACUGAAUUCCAGCUUUUAAACAAGAUUUUUGAAAAAUUAGUAAUGCAAAUUGGGACUGUCUAUAGUAUUCUCAGCUAGUGUGUAUAUCUGAGGUGCUGGCCUAUUUCCUGUUCUCCUGUGCUGUGCGUGGGCUUAGCACCUAGUAGGUACUUAAUAAUGAUUUAUCUCAGGGGAUCACCAAAUGCCAGUUGUAUGCCCACUCCCAGGUGGUAAACAAAUGCCAUCUCACAGUGGACCUGGCCUGCUAGUUCUGCCUGAGACCAGAUCGCUGCCUAAUUUAUCUGGAACACCCACUCUAGCUCUAGAUACCGGAGCAGACUGUGCAGUCAGCCUCUUACGCAGCUCCUGUCUUGAGAGCAUGGUUUCGUUCACUGAAUAAAGACCCAGUCCCUGUAGAGCCGGCCCUAAUGAGGAAACGGGAGGACAGAGAGGCCAGCAUGAAGCCUGCUUUCCCCAUGAUGCCUGCUGAAUGGAGUCUGUGGCUGGCACACGGUGCUUGCAUUCCACACCCUGGACAAGGGUGGGUCAAAGUUCAUUCAGCUUAUUCCCUUUAAAGAAAAAGAAGUUGUUGUCUUUGGCAUUUUGAAGUUUUGAUCCAGAUCACUUGGAGGCCAUAGAGUGCUCUCCAUGUCUGGGGAGUUUGUUUAGUUCCCAAGGCAUCUGAUUGCAGAGACACUGGGGACCCGGUGAACCGUGGGCUAUGGGUUCUGAAGGUGAAAUCCUGCCUUUUUGACUUCCCUGAAGUCGACUGGCCCUGCAGGCCUCCAGGGGUGAAUGGAAGGAGGCAGCACCUUCUCCCGGCUCCAGAGUGAUCUUUACCCCCUGAAAUCAAACACGACACACAGCACCCUGUAAAACUGCUUCCUUGUGGGCCUGAGCGUGCUGACUGAGUAAACAUCCUCCCAUGUUUUUGGAACUGAACUUAUGUCUGCUUCCUUGUCAUCCUCUUCAGGUUUUUCUGUUCUGGGCACCAGGCAGAAUCAGUAUUGUAAGGAAGACCUAGAAUUUUUAGGCAGAAGCACCUAACUAAGAUGACUGUUUUAAUCCUAGUAAAAUUGUGGGAAGGGUAACCAGAUUGUGGGAAUAAAAGGAUUUAGACAAAAAGUGAAACGAAACAAAGCCUUCCCACACAGCGUCAUCACCGUAGUGCUUUGCAAGUCCCAGUUGGUCUGUGCAGUGCCUCUGCAAUGGGGACUUAUCUUUGUACUGAUGAUUCAAGCUCAGUUUCACUGUGGUUGUAGACCACAGUGGGCUUCUCUCUACAAAUUUCCAUGGCCCUGUGUCCCUCUUCUGACCCUGUCACUCCGUCUGUCACGACUUACUUGCCUCUUCUCGCUCACUUCCACCCACAUCUCCAUUACCAUGGCAGUGAGCAACCGCGUCACUCACCAAGUUCGUGGGGGUGAUGGGCCAGUUCUGUCGAGCCUCUUCCCUCUGGUUCUCCCUCCUGAAGGAGGAGGCUCCCUGGCAGAGCUCAGAGCCCUUUGUUUAUUUGAUCCUGGGCUCUUGGAUAAAUCAGGAAUGUCCUGACAUGAACUCAGGCAUGUUUUUCUUCCAUGGAGAAGGAAAGUAUGGCAAAUGGGAUUUGAGUUAGCAGAGGACCAUUCCUGGGUACUUGCUUUAGUGCCAUCAAGGCCACAUUCCUUUGGUCAUCAGACCAGUAGGUGACUUCUUUAUUGGCAUGCUCUACCCUGGAGCCCAGAAGGUGUGAAUUUGAAGCACUUUCCCCCCUGCAGGGAGCCUGGCACGGGCUUCUUUUAAAACCAUGUAGUGCCAUGGUUGUCUUCCAAGUGGUCCUUCUUUCUGCUUGGCCCAGAGUAGCUGCUUCAAGAAGGCUGCUUGGGAAAGGAGUCUGAACUAGGUGACUGCCUGGCUUCUCAUUCUUAUUCAUCUUUUUCGAAAUUACAAGGUUCUCAGUGUGAUACACCUUGUGAAUCCACUGCCCUGGGACCUGAAUACAUCCCACGUCUGGUCAGGUCCAGGUGCAUAUCAUGCAGCUGGUUGUUAGGAACCUUUGCACGCCUGUGCUCUUUGCUCGUAGAGGCAUGGGAACCUGACACUCAGUAGGUGUGUCUGGGUCUAGUGGGUUAGUGUCUCGAGCUGUUCUUGGAAGAAUCCAUAGGUCUGGAGGGCAGGAAGAUGUUGGGAGCUCUGUGCUUUGCUGCAGUAGAAACCUGUCAGUAUCCAAAAACAACCCCAGUCGGUCUCCAGAGCAUCAGUAGAACCUUAUGAGUUUGCAGGUGUGUGGAUGCCUGGGCUUUACCGUAGUAGCAGGAUUGGGGUGGGUGGUGGAUACUUAUCUUGGUUGGCUGGACAUCCCAGAGAGUGACCACUUUCAGGUCCAGGCUUGGCCAUCACUCUUUUUUGCUGCUUUUUGUAUUGUCAGAAGCAUCUUCUUGGGAACAAAUGACUCAGCAACCUGAAUCUCUGAGACUGUGUAGCCUAUGAGCAUUUAGGGAAGAAAUUGGACUUACCUUCCUAGUCCCCAAAUUUUUGAAUCCUGGAAGAAUGGAAAUGGCAGACUGAUUUUACCCUGGACUCCUCAGGCUACUGUUCAGUUUGGUUUUUCAAAUACUGCCCUGAUGGAAGGAUCUUACUUAGAGGGUAAGCAGGCAAUGUUUUAAUUAUUCUUUUUGUCCUUAGGAAAUUCAGGGAGAAAAAUUGGCCCGGGUUCAUGGCCAAAAAGGCAAAAACAACAACAGCAAGAGAAAUCAGAUAUGUUCUGUAAUUCUGGACUUGGCUGUGGCAGAAAGAGUUAAUGGGAUGGGGGUCGCAGGAUGAGGACCACUCUUUCCCAUGACUGAAAGAAACCCUGAUGGCUCAUGAGAAGAUGAUGCAACCUGAGCAUGGGGCAGUCCUGGUUGGGCUCAGGGUCUGCCACUUAGAGUUAAGCCAGUCUGUGGCUGGGAAGCCUCCAGGAAAGAGUGAGCCUGCAGGGACAGGGACCUCUAUGCCCCAGAGCCUUGAGGUAUGGGGGGAAAAGGCGGAAAUGUACAGCCAAGGAAAUAGAGCGUAGGCCCAACUUUUUUUUUUUUUUGCCUUGUUUGACCAGCCUUGGCACUGCCCUCCAGCUCUCCAGGGGAAAAGCUGCAGUUCUGCUCUUGCAACACAAGGAGCAGACUGGAGAAUUUAGAUCUGCGUCACAGAGCUCAGAGAGAGAGAGAGAGAGAGAGAGAGAGUGAGAGAGAGAGCGAGCGAGCUCCGUCGAUAGGUCUGCUAGCAACAGCCGUGCUGCAGCAGAGAGAGAGAGAGAAAUCAAGAAACAAGUCAUAGCAACACUGGGCACCAGGUUUUGCCAGCUCACUUGCCAAGCGUUUAGAAAUCUGUUGGGGGCCAGAGGCCUCUGGGUAGCCUAGGCUAAGGAGAUGACAUGCAAGGUGGCACGGGCGGUUCCCGUGGGGAGGAGGUGGGGUGGGGGGCAGGAGUGGGAGCAAGAGGUUGCGGGGCGACAGCAGAAGGCUUAACAGGACCGGAUUCUGGAACAUUCGGGACUGCGGCACCUUAAGGCUGGACAGAGAUUUGGGUCUGCGCAGGCGACUAUGGGUGGUCUGAUGGGCUUCAGGACUUGAUGGCGUAACCCGCUUCUUCCCCCACGUACGUAUUUCUGGGAUCAGGGGCAGUUGUCUCUGCGUAUGUGGGUGCUCUGCCUUUCUCACCUUCUUUCUCGUUUUUUUGCUCUUUUUUCCUCUGAGGGAGGUUUUUUCCCCACACUUUAAUUUCUUCUCUUUUAGUGUCAGCUGCUCAAGCCUGACCAGGGUAGAGGAGUGAGGAGUGAGCCGUCCUCAGCUUCCCACCUGACCUCCCAGCCUUUACCCUAUUUUCUUCUGGUGGACAGACAGACUGGUUUUCCAGGUUGUUUGGGCAUCAGCGUCCAUCUGUCUGUACAGGUCUUACAUGGAAGGAAGGAAAGGAGUGAGGAGGAGAAGUGCCAAGAGGAAGGCAAGAGGGACAGGUUUUCCAGGGGCUACCUUAUUGAAAUGUGUGGCCCUGGGGACCUGGGGCUGGGGGGAGUGGUGGACAGGGUGGGGUGUGGGCUGGGAGAAGUGGGGUAAAGCUGGUAGGUUUGUCACUGCGUAGUUGGGAAAAGUGGGGAAUGAUGACGCAGUCACUGUUGCAUCUUGUUAGGAGCUCUGUGGGGACAGGUAGUAAGGCUUUGGGGGUCUGCGGGGCAGCCUAGAGAGGUUAAGGAUGAGCUGAGAAGGGAAGCUAGCAUUUAGAGAUUAAAUGUCAUCCUUUUGGCGUUGGAAAGUUGUUUACCUUGCGCUCUCUGUGUCUCCAUGUUGGCUCCAUUCCAGUUCACAUGUGAUGGCCUUCCCUGUACUGCUGCAUCAUUAACUAAGUGACUGAGCUGGCCUUCCAUUGGCCAGGGGAGGGCUCUCACUCCAGACACUUCCUCUGAUUGGUGGGAGGACCAGUGGCAGGUGAAAAGCUUUUUUUGAUUGGCUGAGGACAGGGUAUCAAAUCUGAAUUUGCAUUUCACUUGCUUAAAGGGGAGGGGGGAGAAACCCAGCAGCUUUCUAAAAUCUCUUUAGGGGUGUGCGUAGGCUCUGGUGUCUGCCUGCUUUUGACUGCCCACUCGAAGCCUCUUUCUAUGCCUUUUUAAAUUUCAAGCACUAUAAAGAAGAAGAGCUCGGGGCUCCCCAAACUUUUCUUUCUUUCUUUUUUUUUUAUUUAGAGGUAGGAAGGUUUGGAAGAUGGGUGCGCAGCUGGUUGACCAAAUUGGAAGAAAAUAUUUGUCCCUUAGUUAGGUGUUAGAAAAGGGAAUUUUCCAAUCAGACACACCUCAGUGUUGCGACAAAAUAAUUCUUGGCUACCCUGGAAACGCUUGAACAAGGUAGGGCAGAGCUGCUGCUGCUGCUGUUGCCGCCACCCUGGCCUUCCUGCUGACUCUGGGCUACUCCCUGGGGACAAGAGAUUUGCAUUGACGUCCGGGGCUGUCCAGAGAGUGUUGAGGGGCUGUCCAGAGGUCCUCAAGAGACAGUUGUGAGCUGAGCCCACUGUAGGAAGGAUCUGCCUUUUGGAAGCUGCUGCUGCCCGGUGCUUGGAAAGGGAACUCACAAAAGUGCAGCUUGGUCUGUGAGUGGGUGACAAUCUCCUGGCAACUUAGGCUCAGCUGAGGAUGGUGCCUGUAUGCCCAAGACAGCCUUCGUACUGCCAGGUAGAGUGGCUCACUCACAACAAAAAAGGAGAUGCCUGGCAGCCCUGCUCUUUGCAGUAAGUAUUUGUCUAUAUUCUUGUACAUUCUUUUAUUUCUUUGAACAUCGGAAGUGGUAGAUGUUAUUGUCCCCAGCUGCUGUGCCUUCUCCAUUCUUCUCCUGUGGACCCACCCUUAGUCCUUCAGAAGAGAGAACUAGAUUGAUUUUCUAGUGCUGUUGGAGAGCCGCAGAGGGGCUGGAAUUAAGUGUUCUGCCUUCACACAUUCCCUUCACAUUCGGGAGAAGUCAGUUUUCCCUAAAAUGGAGCCAACAGCCUGUGUCCUGAGUGAGGAGUGCUAAUGGACUGCACUGAAGGACCCCGUGUGCUCUCUCUGCCCCCAGCUGGGAGGUGAUGCUUCCAAUUGGCUGACUAUGGGAGGAUGGUCCUUGCCAGCACCUAGCAUGGUUCUCUGCCAAGUUCUAGCUCCAGAUCUCUAGGCUGGUAGGAACCUAGACUAUAUAUAGCAUUGUGCUAAGCAAUUCUUAUCAGACGUCUCUGCCCUCGCCUGCCGGAGAGAAGCAUUUCUAUCAGAACAAGAACAUAGAGAGAGUGAGCCAUCUCCAAGGACUGGGAAGGUGUGUGUGUCUGUGACUGGUUCGGGACUGCCAAUCUUACUCUCCUUUCCCCUGUUUCAGAUGCUGAUAAAUUCAAAGGUCAUGCUGGAUGAGGAUGAGGGCGCUGAGGCGGGAUGAGGGCAAGAGGGGCUGAUAGUUGGAUGUUGGGCUUAAAGAACGAGAGACUGAGGGCAUGCGGCAGUUGUGCCCUACAUCAAACGCCAUCCUCCAGUUUCUCCUCCUGGUUUCCUGUUGGUCUUGUUUUGCCCAAGGAUGUCUUUUGACCUCUCUUCCUUCUUUCAGACCUUUUGCCUUCCUGCACCUCUUCCUCCUCCUUCCUUUAAUUUUCUUUAGGAUGUAUGAAGGCAGACUCAUCUACCAGUCUGGAGCCACACCAACUGUCUGCACAAUUCCACUUUGCUGCAGUUUGGCAAAGUGGGGUCAGCUGUCCUCUGGAGGAAGCUGGGUGGUGAAUGAGUGUGUUGGGCUGGGUGGGAUAUUCUCUUCCUCCCUCUCAUGCAUUGUUGAGCCACCAAUUUAUCUGGUUCCAUGAUGAUAAGUGUUGACUGAUGAGGUAUGUCCCAGUCUUGUCAGUGGAUCCUCGUCAGGCUGCUUAUUGGAAACCAGAAGCAGUAAGGAAAAUAGGACUGAUCCUGCCUCUCAGGUGAGUUAAGUAUGACUGUUCCUUCAGGCCUUCCCCCAACCUUCUUCCCUUCCUGUGAAGACCAUAAUCUUUACUCGCUGGGGGAAUCCUUAAACUUCUCCAUUCAGAAUCUUUUCAAAUAAUUGCCCUCUUCUUUCCAUUCUCCCACUCCUGGCUUUUCUGUGAAUGGGGUUAGUAACCCACAAAGGGCAGCCAGCUGAACUGACUGGACUGCUAGAUGUGUGGGAGAUAGCUGGGUAGCUUUCAAGGUAUGGAGGCAGCAGUAGAGCAGUUAGGCCUGCCAUAGUAAGAGAACAGAAACUGUCCUGAGCCCCUGGCUUUAUUCUGGGAUCAAACCCUCAGUGGUCCUAUAGUGCCUGGACCUUGGACGUUCUCUCCCCUUGUAGUCUGACUGGGUGUUCUGUCAUACUUUGGACAUCCUUAGCCUUGAUGGGGCUUCAUCUGGGGGAGUGGGCUUCAGGGCUUUUCCCCUACUUUUGAGGUUUUCUUUGAAUGAAUCACUUGCCUUUGCCUUAAAAAACAAAAGAAAAAAGACAAAAAAAAAAAAAGGUCAUGGUUCAGGAAACCAUUACAGAGCAUCUCUAGGCAGUUGACAUAGAAAUGCUUUUUCUCUGUCUCACUCAUUGCUGGUCACAGUAACAGCAAUGGCGAUUAAAAGUGAUAACAUCCUGGGCUCACAGAGUGGCCCAGGUAGUAGAAUGCCUGCCUAGUAAACAUGAGGCCCUGAGUUCAAACCCAGUACUGCCAAAAGUAGACCACAAGCACUUGCCAUAAUACCAGGAAAUCUCUCCCAUCAAGUGGAUUGCUGCAGUGUUCUCGGCCAGUGUGGCCCAUUGGAACUAGCGGACAGCUCAUCUGUGAGGUCUAAAGAGAAAAGGAGUGAUGCUGGGUAAUUUUUAUGAGGCACAUGUGGAAUCUCACUUCUAGCCAUGCCAUGUUUGCCACUCUGCUGCUGUCUCAUGGCUGUGUUUCCCCUUCCUUGCCCCGUGCACACCACUAGUCUAGGGAAGGCUGGUGAAUUCUACCUCCAUAGUUCUUCCUCUUUUCUUUCUCCCCAUUUGAAACCAGCCUCUGAGUUGGCUGUGAGCAGCCUGAGAGCCUUGCCAAGUGAGGGCGGUUUGGUUGAGUCCUAUGUCUCUUCCUUCAAGAUGCUCAACACAUUGAGCCCCUGUAGCAGGAGUGUCUGAGGGACAGCUGGAGGUGUUGAGGCUGGAGUGCAAAUAAAGAGCAGAGAUAGGCUGUGGUACAGUUGGGGAGGUGAAACGGAGCCAGCCAAGUUCUUCAAGAUGUGUUGGCUGUCAUCUGGUUAGAGCUAAGGUAGGGCUGGAGCCAGACAUAACUGCUGGCUGUGCUUGGGAGCCUCAGCUCUCACAUAUGCAGCUUGUUCCUGGGCCUGGCUCAGGGUGACCAUCGCUCCCAUGCACGACCCUGCCCUUGCCUAAUUUGGAAAACUGAGGUGGGGAGUGAGGGGAAAUUGGUAUUGUUCCUUGUCACACAGUUGCCUCUGUGAUUUAGGGUUCAUGUUCCCCUGGCCAUUUUCCUCUUUCAUCCCUCAUCUAACUCUGCCCGCAGCUCACCAGCCUGGCUUCUGCUACUUCACAGGGCAUUGUGUGUUGCCAGUCAGGCAAGCUGGACAGUUGGUACCCUCCAGAGGGUCCUAGGCAAAUCUGCAACUUUUUCCUUGACCUUUGACUCCCUGAGGUGUGGGAGCCAGCAGGCAGCAUGGGGUGGGGCAUUUACAUGUGGGAUCCAGCAGAGGUUAACUGAGCAGUGGAGCUGGGUGGCGUGGCUUGGCCGGAAAUCAUGUGGGAGGGGCCCUGCCUGAGGCUCUGAUUGGUCAGCAACUUCCCUAGUCCACUGAAUCCUGGUCUUGUCAGGGCUGUGAAUUGUUUAAUGCCUAUCUCAGCUCUGGCUUGAGUGCACCCAAGGCUGUAGCUGUUGCUUUCGAGAAUAUUCUUUUCUUGCUCUGGUCAUUUUUUUGGGUGUGUGGUCUCCCUCUGAGAUAUGUCAGAGAUAUACUGCCCUUUUCUACCAGCCAGCUGUCCACGGGAGGCGGUGUUUAGCUCUUUUCUUCUGGAACUUGCUGUGGCCGUAGGAAAGCAUAGACUGGGUUUGGUCUCUUGCUGGUUCCUUCCAUAGGAACCGUUCGUGGGCUGAUGAAGCCAGAGGACACCUCCCGAGCCCCAUGUUCUGUGUGGAGCCUGGUACCGCGGGGCUGGGAAUGGAGAGAGUCAUGUGGGGAGGUGGCUGUGCAUGUUGGACCACAGGAGCAAGGCAGGAGUAUGGGGAGAGGAACAAGUUCUGUACCCAACCAGGGCUGCCUGCUGUAGCCCUGGCUGUCUAUGUGUGUCCCCUGUGAAAGAUUUGCAUCUGAAUGCCCAGCACUUUGGGUAGCAUGGUGCCAGGUCAGAUCUGUAAUGAGGCAUGAAGGUAUGAGAUGACAUCAGAGUUCCUGGUCCCUGAGUACCGUCCAGGUAAAAGGAAACUGACCUUUGUUUAAGGCCCCCCUUCGCUUAUCUGAUUUCAUCCUUGGAACCGCCAUGUGACUGACGCAGGUGUUAUUUCCCUCUUACAGUUAAAGGAACUGUGAUUAUUAAAUGACUUAACUAAGGUCACACAGCUGGUAAGUAGGGUUGUUGAGAUGUAAAUCCAGCACUUAUAACUCUAAAGUCUGUACUUUUUCCUAAGCCUUGUGGGCUGAAGUCAGACAUUUUUGAGAAGUAACACAAACCACAGAGAAAGGCAGACACUGGGGACCUUUCCACAUCCCAGGGACAGCUUGCCUUUUUGGUGAGGCAGGACAGAGGCAGAUGUCCUCCAGGGCCUCUGGACAGGCACAUUCGUGUUUCCCCAAAAUGCCAAGGGCCGUACUUGUUGUUGGGGAUGUAGAAACCCACCAGAACCAUGUUUCUGCAAUUGAGAAGCAUAGAUUCUAGUGUGGAGAAAGACUGUUCAUAAUAAAUUAUAAAAUUAUACAUAAGCCAUAUAUGGAGAUUGUGUGGGGUUGAAGGACAAAGACAUCAUAAUAAGAAGUGGGUACAAGUGUUUGACAUGCCUGUAAUCCCAGCACACUCAUGGGGGAUGAGGCAGGAGGAUAGGGAGACCUUGUCUCAAAGAAAAAGAAGGAAGGGAGUCAAGGGGAUAGAAAGACUGAAGGCCUCAGCCACCUGGGGAACCAUGUUGGUUGAACUUUCCUCCAAAAGGUUAGGAUUGAUAGGGAUACUAGCACCCUUUUUUCCUAACAGGAAAAUACUUGCAAGGUCCCCAUAGCUUACAGGAGCGUGUAGUGAGUCAGGAAUCAAGGCCUGAAUAAGGCAGGAGACUUCAAACCCUCUGUAACCAGCAGACUAGGUUUUCCAUUUGCCAUGGCCUCCUUUGGCCCUCUUUCUCCCACCCUGACGAGAUGCCAGCUGGCUUCUGUGCCUCAGCCUGGUCACCAUGCCCCUCUCUUGUCCAUGCAGUGCAGGGAACAUUCAGGUCAGGCCUUUGCCAAGUCACUGGUCAAAUAUGUGCUUGCUAGAGGCAGACUCAGAGCUCAGCCUCUCUGCUGGGACCCUCAGUUCCUGAAUCUGACGGUCACAGCAGGGAAGGGAUAGAUGCCAGGUGGGGAGAAGUGGCCUGUGUCAGGUGCUCUAGUUUACUUCAUGCUGUGAGAGGUUGAGGCAGGUUGGUAGUGCUGGAGACUGGGAAGGCGUGAGUUCAGUUUGUACAGCUCCAGGGCUCAGGGCUUGUUUACUUAGAAGAGAUGGCUGGACCCAGGGUGAGUCAGGCUACUUGAUGCCUUCCUCCUUGGACCGACACAAUGCUGGGCUUACCAGACCACAGAAGCUGCCAUCUGCUGCAGGGUCUGAAGUUGCACAAGGGUUCGAUGGUGUACGGUUGGGGGGCCCGAGGAGGAGGCCUGGAAAGGUGGGGAUUACGCUGUUCAGUGCAGAGGAGUCAGCCAACCUAGAAUCUGGUCCUGGUCUAUUGACCAAAACCUUACUUUACCCCUGUGGGCCUUAGUUUCCUUGUCCAUGACAUGAGGGGGUUGAAAAAUAAUCUUUUUUGAAGAUCUCAACUCUUAAAACCUUUCCUGGAUGUCUGUGGAGACGUUGCUUAGCCAGAAACACAGGAAAAGGAGGCCAAAGUCACUGUGAGAGAAGGGAAAAGCUAUUGACGGCCUGAGAGCAGCUGGAAUCCUUGUUUUGAAGGGGCACUGGUGGCAUGAACUUGGGGUGGGAUGGGUGGAGUCAGCUUUUGAAGGGCUUCCAAGGAGGAAGAGGAGAAAGGGGGCUAGAGAUUAAAUAAAGGUGAUGGAUGAGGAUUGUCCAGGUGACAGAGGAUGUGACACUGGCUCCUGAGAGGCUUGUGGGAGCUUGGGCAGCCCUUGUUGGACUGCAGGGGCUGACUUGAGAGACCUUGCUCUAACACAGGUGUUCCAUCCUGCUUAGCCCUAUGUCCUGGGGAAGUGUAGGACUGUGGACAAGGGAAGGCAUCUGUUCAGGGUCUCCCCCUUGUGCUAAGAGGUUUUCCUUUAUAUUUAGCUUCCUUUCUCAUGGUUGUGUAAGGCCUUCUAUUAGAUAAUAAAUUUAAAUUAAAAAAAAAAAAA